rnacentral:rRNA from 1 species
UACGUAGGGUGCAGGCGUUAAUCGGAAUUACUGGGCGUAAAGCGUGCGCAGGCGGUUUUCUAAGUCAGAUGUGAAAUCCCCGGGCUUAACAUGGGAACUGCGUUUGAAACUGGGAGGCUAGAGGGCGGCAGAGGGGGGUGGAAUUCCACGUGUAGCAGUGAAAUGCGUAGAUAUGUGGAGGAACACCGAUUGCGAAGGCAGCCCCCUGGGCCUGCACUGACGCUCAUGCACGAAAGCGUGGGGAGCAAACAGG